rnacentral:rRNA from 1 species
GUGUCAGCAGCCGCGGUAACACGGACCGCACGAACGUUAUUCGGUAUCACUGGGCUUAAAGGGUGCGUAGGCGGCUUGGCAAGUUGGGUGUGAAAGCCCUCGGCUCAACCGAGGAAUUGCGCUCAAUACUGCCGAGCUCGAGAGAGACAGAGGUAAGCGGAACUAAUGGUGGAGCGGUGAAAUGCGUUGAUAUCAUUAGGAACACCGGUGGCGAAGGCGGCUUACUGGGUCUUUUCUGACGCUGAGGCACGAAAGCCAGGGGAGCGAACGGGAUUAGAUACCCCCGUAGUCC